CUUACCUGGUCUUGACAUCCACAGAACUUGCCAGAGAUGGCUUGGUGCCUUCGGGAACUGUGAGACAGGUGCUGCAUGGCUGUCGUCAGCUCGUGUUGUGAAAUGUUGGGUUAAGUCCCGCAACGAGCGCAACCCUUAUCCUUUGUUGCCAGCGGUCCGGCCGGGAACUCAAAGGAGACUGCCAGUGAUAAACUGGAGGAAGGUGGGGAUGACGUCAAGUCAUCAUGGCCCUUACGACCAGGGCUACACACGUGCUACAAUGGCGCAUACAAAGAGAAGCGACCUCGCGAGAGCAAGCGGACCUCAUAAAGUGCGUCGUAGUCCGGAUUGGAGUCUGCAACUCGACUCCAUGAAGUCGGAAUCGCUAGUAAUCG
rnacentral:rRNA from 1 species